AGUAGUUUGACUCCUGGCUACGAGGACGACGCUGGCGGCGUGCUUCAUACAUGCAAGUCGAACGAGAAUCUCUAGCUUGCUAGAGAGGAAAGUGGCGGACGGGUGAGUAAAAUGUAGAGAAUCUGCCCUAGAGAGAGGGACAACAGUUGGAAACGACUGCUAAUACCUCAUAUGCGCGUAGCUGAGAUGCUAUUCGUGAAAACUCCGGUGCUCUGGGAUGAGUCUGCAUCUGAUUAGCUAGUUGGCGGUGUAAUGGACCACCAAGGCGACGAUCAGUAGCUGGUUUGAGAGGAUGAUCAGCCACAAUGGGACUGAGACACGGCCCAUACUCC
rnacentral:rRNA from 1 species